ensembl:ncRNA T04C10.7 ncRNA
GUUUUCCUGUGGAGAUGACGGGGGGGGGGGGGAUUGGCUAAAGGCGUCGAAGAUUUAUAAUAUCUUCCUGGUCGCGUUGCGAAAUGGAUGGAUGGACAUUGGUGGCAAACGGGCGGUGGGGGAAAUGGCAGAAAUUGCAAGAAAAUUCUGAACGAAAAACUUCUAGUAUGUAGUAC